AGGCUCACUUUGGCACCACAUAUGCUAAAAUUAGAAUGAUACAGAGAAGAUUAGCAUGACCCCUGUACAAAGAUGACAUACAAAUUCGUGAAGUGUUCUAUAUUUUU
ensembl:snRNA U6 U6 spliceosomal RNA